ACGCCAGUAGUUCAACAGGUAGAGCGUCGGUCUCCAAAACCGAAAGUUGAGGGUUCGAGUCCUUCCUGGCGUGCCA
rnacentral:tRNA from 1 species